GUGCAAGGGACCGCACAAGAAGAGAGAUUGUCCGAGGAGGGCAGUGUUCGUGGCCAAGGAGCGAGAGCCAGAUCAAUCUUCUUCACCACUGGAGCCAGCAAGCGUGGAGAGCUUGCCGUGUUGUUCACUUGGUGCUAUGGGUUUAAUUGGACCGAGUGAAGCUCCUAGCAAGGAUGCAGUGGAUGUGUGUGGGACUCGAGCGGUCCAAGUUGCCGAAGGAGCUGCCACCCGAGGAAGAGGUGGGCUGUGUGAGAGAUUC
rnacentral:misc_RNA from 1 species